AAAGGGGAACAUAUUUACCUCACUUCUAGGUUCUGAGGUAAGAAAGUUAGAAGAAAACACCUCCUCCAUUUAAAAGGAUUGAAGGAGGCUGCUACAAGAAGAGUAGGUGAAAGCAUUUUUUAAUGCAUAAAAUGGUACAUAAAUGCAAGCCUCAUUAUUAUGUUAAAGGCUCUGGGGAUCAGAGAGCAAAGGCACAGUAUUCUCAAAGCUUUUCUCACUUCCAGGAAUAACAAAGAUGAUUAAAAGCCUACAGUGUGCCAGAAGGGAGGCGGAGAGAAAGGGAAGGAGAUCGAAUAAGGACAAGACUGAGACCCAGACAAG